UGGUUCCCUUCCACACUGUGGAAGCUUUGUUCUUUUGGUCUUCAUGAUAAAUCUUGCUGCUGCUCACUCGUUGGGUCCGUGGCGCCUUUAAGAGCUGUAACACUCACUGCGAAGGUCUGCAACUUCACUCCUGGGGCCAGCAAGACCACGAAUCCACCAAGAGGAAUGAACAACUCGGGACACACCAUCUUUAAGAACUGUAAUACUCACCGCAAGGGUCUGCAACUUCAUUCUUGAAGUCAGUGAGGCCAAGAACCCAUCAAUUCCGGACGCAUUUUGGUGACCUUGAAGAGACUGUCACCUAUCACCAAGUGGUGAGACUAUUGCCAAGCAGUGAGACUAUCGCCAAGUGGUGAGACCAUCACCAAGUGGUGAGACUAUCACCUAUCGCCAAGUGGCCUGAUUCAGCAGGAAGCAUCUCAGACACCAACCACUAUGCUGUCAGCAGUGGCCCGGGGCUACCAGGGCUGGUUUCAUCCCUGUGCUAGGCUUUCUGUGAGGAUGAGCAGCACCGGGAUAGACGGGAAGGGCGUCCUGGCUAACCGGGUAGCCGUGGUCACGGGGUCCACCAGUGGGAUCGGCUUUGCCAUCGCCCGACGUCUGGCCUGGGACGGGGCCCACGUGGUCAUCAGCAGCCGGAAGCAGCAGAACGUGGACCGGGCCAUGGCCAAGCUGCUGGGGGAGGGGCUGAGCGUGGCGGGCAUUGUGUGCCACGUGGGGAAGGCUGAGGACCGGGAGCAGCUGGUGGCCAAGGCCCUGGAGCACUGUGGGGGCGUCGACUUCCUGGUGUGCAGCGCAGGGGUCAACCCUCUGGUGGGGAGCACUCUGGGGACCAGCGAGCAGAUCUGGGACAAGGGACCUCAGGGUGGUACCCCCUUCUGACAUCUGGACCACUUCUUGCAGUCAUUGGGGGUCAUCCCCCACACUGGUAACCUGUCAUCAAAUGGGCCACAGCAACAUUCAGCUUAAGUAUUUCUCCUUCCCACAUCCAAGGGAUUGAGUGGGCGUGAGAUUGGGGGGGUGGAAAAAACAGUGAACAGUCCUGGUGAGUUGCAGAUGUGGUCUCAUUCCCUAGAGAUGCAGGAUGCAGCUGACCUGAAUCAGGACAGAUCCCUGCAGGAGGGACUCCUGGUGCCAUGUCAGUCCCACCUGGCACUGCCCUAGCUCCCAGGCUCCGCCUCUGCAUCUUUCCUUGCUACUUCCUCUUUCACUUCUCCCCUGUUCCCAGACCCACCAGACAGAGCUUCCAGAGUGUCAGGACAUGUGUGACUUAGCCCAGAUUCAGACUUUAGUCACAAGCAGGAUCAGCAUAGACAUGUAGCUCCCAGCAUGGCAAUUCUCUGUUGUGUCUUCCUGUUUGUAUUGGCUGCAGGAAAGCUCAGAGCCAAGUCUGCGAUAAGCUGGUGUGUGUAGGCCCUUACAGCCUGCAUUUUUAUGACCAAAUAAUAGAAUAAAUGCUCAGUCCUUAUCACAUGCUGUGAACUGUAGGCACCAACCUCACUCUUGCUUUUUCUUAUUUUUCUACACUGAUUUUUCCUUUUCUCCAUUUCUUCACACAUAGUACCUAUUUGAUUUAUUUUAUGCUGUUGCAUUGUGAGUAUGCCUUAAAUUCUAUGGGGACAAGGUAAGAGGACAAGCAAAUGAAAGCUCAGAGAGACAAAAAAGGCUCUUCCAGAAAUCUCCCUUGCUUCUAGCACCUGCUUCCCCUCCAUCAGGCUGUCUUCAGUUUUUCUCCAGAGGCCUCUGCUUACAGUGUGUUGUUGUUUUCUUUUUAAGAGACAGGGUCUCACUCUGUCACCCAGGCUGGAGUGCAGUGGCAUGAUCAUGGCACACUGCAGCUUCAAACUCCUGGGCUUAAGGGAUCCUCCUGCCUCAGCCUCCUGAGUAGCUAGGAUUAUAGGUGUGCACCACCACACCAGGCCAAUUAUUUAAAAAUCUUGUAGAGACAAGGUCUCACUGUGUUGCUCAGGCUGGUCUUGAACUUUUGGCCUUGAGUAAUCCUCCCACCUUGGCCUCCUAAAGUGCUGAGAUUACAGGCAUGACCCACUGCCCCCAGUCCCCAUUUUCUUUAAAAGGCCUGAACAUUUCCUUCCUCGUGUCAGUCCUGAACAAUUCACAUUUUCAGGGCUCUGCUCACCGGCCUGUGACUUAGCCUGCCUGCCUAUGAAACCAUUAGCAAAUUGGAAAUACCUCUUGCACCAGUCAGAAGGGGGAUUGGUUUCUCUUAUAUGCACAUACAUUGGGUCUACUGCACAAAUUACAGGGCUCCAAGUGUCUUAUGAGAGCAGGACUUGGGCUGACCAUGUCUCUCUGCCCUCACCCAUGCUCUGCUCUGAUUUCAGAUCCUAAGUGUGAACGUGAAGUCCCCAGCCCUGCUGCUGAGCCAGUUGCUGCCCUACAUGGAGAACAGAGGUUGCUCAUUGACAGGCACUCACCAUCAG